AGUGCCCAGGAGUUCUCUGCUCACAGGAGUCCCAGGAGCUUCAGAGAUGUAGGCACUGGAAAGUUGCCUGUGCUCCAAGAAUUGACUCUCACCCAUGUGUCUGUCAGCAAAACCAGCUCAACUCACUGGGUCCCCCAAACCAAAAAGACAAGGAAGCAGAAGAGAGGAGCAGGAGGAACCAAGAGAGACUCACAGUUUAGUGUGGGUCCUCUCUGUCUCAUUGCAAGUAAACAUCACACCACGUCCUGAGGAAGGGACAGAAACUGCAUUGGGUGAGAGAUGUAUCCUGGACCUCAGCUGCUCCCAGCAUCAGUAUCCUGGACCUGAGCC